rnacentral:lncRNA from 1 species
CUUGGUGUAAUGUAAGGGUUAGGUUUAGGGUAAGGGUCAGGUUUAGAUCUAGGGUUAUUAUUAGGGUCAGGGUCAAGAUUAGGGUUUGUUUGAGGUUAGAGGUUAGGUUUAGGGCUCGGAUUAGCAUUAGGUUUAGGGUUUGGAUAAUGACAGGGUUAAGUUCAAUGUUUAGAUGUGGUUUAGUGUAAUGGAUGGGGUAAGGUUAAGCCUAAUGUUUAGCAUAAGGUUUAGGGUUAUCAUUAGGGUAAAGGAUAGGAUUAGACUUAAGAUUAGGGCUAGGGUAUGUAUAGGAUUAGGGCUUUUGUUUGGGUUAUGGUUAGGUUUAAAUUUAGGGUUAAAGCUAGGUUUAGGACUCGAAUUAAGGCUAGGUUUUGGUUUAGGUUAGGGCUAGAGUUGAGGCUAUGGUAAAUGUACAAAUUACGGGUAUGAUUAGCAUAGUUAUACGGUUAGGGUUAGGGCUAGAUCAAGUGUUAGGGUUAGUUUUAUGUUUAUGAUGAUAUUUAGAGCUAGAGUUAGUAUUAGGGUCAGAGUCAGUGUCCGGAUUACUUUUCAGGUUUGACUUAGGACUAGAAUUAGAGAUAGGUUUAGGGCUAGGUGUAAGGUUAGGGUUUGGUUUAGGUUAAGGGUUAAGGUUAUGGUAUUACUCGGUUUUGAUUUGGGGCUAAGGGUAGGUUUAGGGGUAAUUUUAGGAUCAGUGUUAGGGUUAGGGCUAGUGUUAGUGUGCGGUUUAGGCUUAGGUGAUGUUGAGAGCCACAACCAAGUCAAGAUGGUGCCUGGCAUUUUGAAGAAGGAGUGGUUGAGAAGUAACACCAGGAGCCAUUAAGAUGAUGAUAAUUAAGUUUAGCUGUGUAUAAUUAUUAAGAUAAUGACUGAUUGGUGUAACUGGAUGAUGCUAAAUUGAAACAAGAUGUGUAUUCAGUUGUGUAUAUAAACCUCUGCUGUCUGGCAAUAAGGCGGAUCGUGCUACCUCGGGUGCCCACUGCUUUUGAGUUCCCGUUGGUUCUUGCGGAGUUUCCAGGGAGUUUUGGAGAGUUCCCAUGGGGUUCGGUCAAUAAACUAGUUCCUUUUUGAACCUACAAGUGGCUUGUGACCUCCCGGUUAUUUUGUGCCCAGGCAGACUGUGGCAAGGUUUAG